rnacentral:pre_miRNA from 1 species
UUUGUAUUCCCUCCGUCUCAAAAUUCUUGUCUUAGAUUAGUUUAGAUACAGAUGUAUCUAAUACUGAAACGUGACUUGAUACAUCCGUAUUUAGACAAAUAUAAGACAAGAAUUUUGGGACGGAGGGAGUAGUUG